AAGGUAAGGCUCGGCCGGGCACCUGUGAGAGGGCUGUGGGCAGAGUGAAAGCUCUGGGAGAUCCCUGCAACUGGUAUACCCUUUUGUCCAUCCCAGAGCUCUUUUCCCUGGUUCAGUGAAGGUGACACGGAGCAGAUGGCACCAGUCAGUAUACUCAUCUAGGUGAAAUCCUUCAGUAGCAUUGAUCUUCCCAGACUGAUAACUGCUGAAAUCCAGGUCACGGCUCACCUCACCAAACUCAAAGCAAGGAGUGAGGAGAGGGAGACUCUAGACAGCCACUGGACUACAACCAUCGGCUCUGAAAUAAUGAGAAACUAUUGUAAGCAGACAGAUGCCUUGAUGUCUCUGAG
rnacentral:lncRNA from 1 species